rnacentral:rRNA from 1 species
ACUCAAAGGAAUAGACGGGGGCCCGCACAAGCGGUGGAGCAUGUGGAUUAAUUCGAAGCAACGCGAAGAACCUUACCAAGGCUUGACAUGGGGACGACCGGCGCAGAGAUGUGCCUUCCCUUCGGGGCGUCCCACACAGGUGGUGCAUGGUUGUCGUCAGCUCGUGUCGUGAGAUGUUGGGUUAAGUCCCGCAACGAGCGCAACCCCUAUCUUUAGUAGCCAUCACGUAACGGUGGGCACACUAGAGGGACUGCCGUGGAUAACACGGAGGAAGGUGGGGAUGAGGUCAAAUCAUCAUGCCCCUUAUGUCUUGGGCAUCACACGUGCUACAAUGGCCCAUACAGAGUGACGCAAGACGGUGACGUGGAGCAAAUCACGAAAAUGGGUCCCAGUUCGGAUUGUAGUCUGCAACCCGACUACAUGAAGUUGGAAUCGCUAGUAAUCGCAAAUCAGCAUGUUGCGGUGAAUACGUUCCCGGGCCUUGUACACACCGCCCGU